AUUAUAUAUCUUGAAGAAAGUAAAGUUAGGGGGGAUCUGAUUGAGGCAUUUGAGAUUGUAAAGGGCAUUGAUAGUGUUGAUGUAUCAUCUUUUCUUAUAUUUAACAAUGAGAAUAGUAGGACUAGGGGACACAAAUAU